GUUCCCGGUCUUCUUCUCACGCUCUCUCUGUUACGCUCUAUUCUCUCAUUUUUUUCAAAAAAAGAAAAACCAAAUCCCUUAUAUUUCUCCUUCUUUGAACAAAUAAAAAAGAGUAAACAACAACAUCGAAAAAGGGAAAGCAUUAACCAUGCCCAUUAAAUCCUUAACACUAUCCUAAAUUCCAACUUCUUAAGAAAAACAAAAUUUCAAACCUCAGAAAAACCCAUAAAUUAUGCCCCUAUGAUGCACAUUAGAUCGACACAACAACACACAACAAGAAAAACAAAAGGAGGGAUCAACACUAACCUGAACUGGUGGAAGGAUUUUUAGACGUUGUGGUUGAUUCUCAGGACAAAAUAUGUCCAAAACCAAGUUACUGCUGCAUAUGAAGACAAGAAGAAAAGGACAAGAACACACUUGCCAACUAUGAGGAAACCACAUUCUUGAGAUAUUAUUUUUGUAAUCUUGUUCAAUUUCUUAAUGUAUUCAAAAAUGUAGAGUUCUUUAGACAAAGUGUAAAAAUAAAAUGUGAAUUUAUUCCUUUUUUUGGAUUAUUCAAAUUUGUGGUAGAAUAGAAUGCUUGAUAAAAAAAAUAAACAAAUGAGAAACUUAUUUUUUAGACAAAGGUUG